UACGUAGGGGCCUAGCGUUGUCCGGAAUUAUUGGGCGUAAAGAGCUCGUAGGUGGUUCGGCAAGUCGGAUGUGAAAUCUCCACGCUUAACGUGGAGGGGCCAUUCGAAACUGCUGUGACUUGAGUCCGGUAGGGGAGUGUGGAAUUCCCGGUGUAGCGGUGAAAUGCGCAGAUAUCGGGAAGAACACCCGUGGCGAAGGCGGCUCUCUGGGACGGUACUGACGCUGAGACGCGAAAGCGUGGGGAGCGAACAGG
rnacentral:rRNA from 1 species